rnacentral:rRNA from 1 species
UACGUAGGGGGCAAGCGUUGGUCCGGAUUUAUUGGGCGUAAAGAGCGUGUAGGCGGUCAGGUAGGUCCGUUGUGAAAACUCGAGGCUCAACCUCGAGACGCCGAUGGAAACCAUCUGACUAGAGUCCGGAAGAGGAGACUGGAAUUCAUGGUGUAGCAGUGAAAUGCGUAGAGAAUCAUGGAGGAAGACCAGUGGCGAAGGCGGGUCUCUGGACAGGUUCCUGACGCUGAGGCACGAAGGCCAGGGGAGCAAACGGG